AUGGAUCACAGAGGGUUGAUGCUGGCAGUUCUAAUGCAUGUGCUCACUCUUCUGAUUUAUUUACACCUGUGCACUUAAUUUUCUUCAAAGGCAGGGUAGAGAGUCUGCCUUUGAAGCUUUUAUCUAAAACCCCUUGUAUUGAACUGGUGAAUGUUUAUCUGCCACAAGGCAAAAUGGUUAAUA
rnacentral:misc_RNA from 1 species